rnacentral:rRNA from 1 species
GGUUAAGCGACUAAGCGUACACGGUGGAUGCCCUGGCAGUCAGAGGCGAUGAAGGACGUGCUAAUCUGCGAAAAGCGUCGGUAAGGUGAUAUGAACCGUUAUAACCGGCGAUGUCCGAAUGGGGAAACCCAGUGCAAUUCGUUGCACUAUCGUUAACUGAAUACAUAGGUUAACGAGGCGAACCGGGGGAACUGAAACAUCUAAGUACCCCGAGGAAAAGAAAUCAACCGAGAUUCCCCCAGUAGCGGCGAGCGAACGGGGAGCAGCCCAGAGUCUGAAUCAGCUUGUGUGUUAGUGGAACGGUCUGGAAAGUCCGACGGUACAGGGUGAUAGUCCCGUACACCAAAAUGCACAGGCUGUGAACUCGAAGAGUAGGGCGGGACACGUGGUAUCCUGUCUGAAUAUGGGGGGACCAUCCUCCAAGGCUAAAUACUCCUGACUGACCGAUAGUGAACCAGUACCGUGAGGGAAAGGCGAAAAGAACCCCGGCGAGGGGAGUGAAAAAGAACCUGAAACCGUGUACGUACAAGCAGUGGGAGCACCUUUAUGGUGUGACUGCGUACCUUUUGUAUAAUGGGUCAGCGACUUAUAUUCUGUAGCAAGGUUAACCGUAUAGGGGAGCCGCAGGGAAACCGAGUCUUAACUGGGCGUUAAGUUGCAGGGUAUAGACCCGAAACCCGGUGAUCUAGCCAUGGGCAGGUUGAAGGUUGGGUAACACUAACUGGAGGACCGAACCGACUAAUGUUGAAAAAUUAGCGGAUGACUUGUGGCUGGGGGUGAAAGGCCAAUCAAACCGGGAGAUAGCUGGUUCUCCCCGAAAGCUAUUUAGGUAGCGCCUCGUGAACUCAUCUUCGGGGGUAGAGCACUGUUUCGGCUAGGGGGUCAUCCCGACUUACCAACCCGAUGCAAACUACGAAUACCGAAGAAUGUUAUCACGGGAGACACACGGCGGGUGCUAACGUCCGUCGUGAAGAGGGAAACAACCCAGACCGCCAGCUAAGGUCCCAAAGUCAUGGUUAAGUGGGAAACGAUGUGGGAAGGCACAGACAGCCAGGAUGUUGGCUUAGAAGCAGCCAUCAUUUAAAGAAAGCGUAAUAGCUCACUGGUCGAGUCGGCCUGCGCGGAAGAUGUAACGGGGCUAAACCAUGCACCGAAGCUGCGGCAGCGACACGAUGUGUUGUUGGGUAGGGGAGCGUUCUGUAAGCCUGCGAAGGUGACCUGUGAGGGUUGCUGGAGGUAUCAGAAGUGCGAAUGCUGACAUAAGUAACGAUAAAGCGGGUGAAAAGCCCGCUCGCCGGAAGACCAAGGGUUCCUGUCCAACGUUAAUCGGGGCAGGGUGAGUCGACCCCUAAGGCGAGGCCGAAAGGCGUAGUCGAUGGGAAACAGGUUAAUAUUCCUGUACUUGGUGUUACUGCGAAGGGGGGACGGAGAAGGCUAUGUUAGCCGGGCGACGGUUGUCCCGGUUUAAGCAUGUAGGCUGAUUAUCCAGGCAAAUCCGGAUAAUCAAGGCUGAGGUGUGAUGACGAGGCACUACGGUGCUGAAGUAACAAAUGCCCUGCUUCCAGGAAAAGCCUCUAAGCAUCAGGUAACAUCAAAUCGUACCCCAAACCGACACAGGUGGUCAGGUAGAGAAUACCAAGGCGCUUGAGAGAACUCGGGUGAAGGAACUAGGCAAAAUGGUGCCGUAACUUCGGGAGAAGGCACGCUGGUGUGUAGGUGAAGUCCCUGCGGAUGGAGCUGAGACCAGUCGAAGAUACCAGCUGGCUGCAACUGUUUAUUAAAAACACAGCACUGUGCAAACACGAAAGUGGACGUAUACGGUGUGACGCCUGCCCGGUGCCGGAAGGUUAAUUGAUGGGGUUAUCCGUAAGGAGAAGCUCUUGAUCGAAGCCCCGGUAAACGGCGGCCGUAACUAUAACGGUCCUAAGGUAGCGAAAUUCCUUGUCGGGUAAGUUCCGACCUGCACGAAUGGCGUAAUGAUGGCCAGGCUGUCUCCACCCGAGACUCAGUGAAAUUGAACUCGCUGUGAAGAUGCAGUGUACCCGCGGCAAGACGGAAAGACCCCGUGAACCUUUACUAUAGCUUGACACUGAACAUUGAGCCUUGAUGUGUAGGAUAGGUGGGAGGCUUUGAAGCGUGGACGCCAGUCUGCGUGGAGCCAACCUUGAAAUACCACCCUUUAAUGUUUGAUGUUCUAACGUUGGCCCCUUAUCGGGGUUGCGGACAGUGUCUGGUGGGUAGUUUGACUGGGGCGGUCUCCUCCCAAAGCGUAACGGAGGAGCACGAAGGUUAGCUAAUCCUGGUCGGACAUCAGGAGGUUAGUGCAAUGGCAUAAGCUAGCUUGACUGCGAGCGUGACGGCGCGAGCAGGUGCGAAAGCAGGUCAUAGUGAUCCGGUGGUUCUGAAUGGAAGGGCCAUCGCUCAACGGAUAAAAGGUACUCCGGGGAUAACAGGCUGAUACCGCCCAAGAGUUCAUAUCGACGGCGGUGUUUGGCACCUCGAUGUCGGCUCAUCACAUCCUGGGGCUGAAGUAGGUCCCAAGGGUAUGGCUGUUCGCCAUUUAAAGUGGUACGCGAGCUGGGUUUAGAACGUCGUGAGACAGUUCGGUCCCUAUCUGCCGUGGGCGCUGGAGAAUUGAGGGGGGCUGCUCCUAGUACGAGAGGACCGGAGUGGACGCAUCACUGGUGUUCGGGUUGUCAUGCCAAUGGCACUGCCCGGUAGCUAAAUGCGGAAGAGAUAAGUGCUGAAAGCAUCUAAGCACGAAACUUGCCCCGAGAUGAGUUCUCCCUGAGACUUUAAGUCUCCUGAAGGAACGUUGAAGACGACGACGUUGAUAGGCCGGGUGUGUAAGCGCAGCGAUGCGUUGAGCUAACCGGUACUAAUGAACCGUGAGGCUUAACCUU